AAAAAAAAAAAAAAAAGGAAACAGGAAGCUCCUCCCUCAGCCAGCCCAAACCUGUACUUUAGUUAUAAUCCGUUCCUCCUUAAGGAGAAAAGAUGGGGAGGGCAGGCUCUGGGGCAGCCCUUGCCCGAGCAAGCAGUUGGAACAAACCUUGGUGCAGGACCAAGAACUCUGAGCUUUGCAGAGAACCCAGUUUGGCUCAGACUGACUGUGUAGCUAAGAAUGACGUCUACCUCCUCCUGCCUCCACGUCCCCAGUGCUGGAGUUACAGGUAUGAGUGGCCCAGUUUGUACGCUGCUGAGGGACUGAAACUCGGCCUUGUGCUUGCUAAGUGGGUGCUCAGACUGGAGCGACAUCUACUGCCCUGUCCCUGCUCUUAUUAGAGGCCUGGCCUCCAGAGAGGACACACGACAAGAUCACAUGGAUUUCAUGUUUCUGAAACCUGGCUCCAGCACACCUGACUGUGUCACUUUACCUGAGAUUCUAACUCUGUAAAACAGGAUGACGUUCCCUGUUCAACAGAAUAACUGUAAGAAAUAAAUUAUAUAAUGCGUU